rnacentral:rRNA from 1 species
GUGCCAGCCGCCGCGGUAAUACGGAGGGGGCUAGCGUUGUUCGGAAUUACUGGGCGUAAAGCGCGCGUAGGCGGUUUGCCAAGUCAGAGGUGAAAGCCCGGGGCUUAACCUCGGAAUUGCCUUUGAGACUGGCAGGCUUGAGUACGGGAGAGGUAAGUGGAAUUCCGAGUGUAGAGGUGAACUUCGUAGAUAUUCGGAAGAACACCCGUGGCGAAGGCGGCUUACUGGACCGUUACUGACGCUGAGGCGCGAAAGCGUGGGGAGCAAACAGGAUUAGAUACCCUGGUAGUCCAGGCCGUAAACGAUGGGUGCUAGAUGUGGGGCUCAUUCCACGAGUGCCGUGCCGCAGCUAACGCAUUAAGCGCCCCGCCUGGGGAGUACGGCCGCAAGGCUAAAACUCAAAGGAAUUGACGGGG